CUCUUUGUAAGAGACCUUCAAAUUCACAUAUAUAUGUUCUUAGCAGCUCAAAUCAACGCCUCCAAUUACUUCUUCUUCAAGCACCAUCGUCUUAUUGUUCAUCCGCAGACAAUAAGACAAUGCUUUUGAGAAAGAAUUUUUCACCGAGUAUGGAGAGGCGACCCAGUACGAGAUUCAAGAAGUGAUUGGGAAAGGUAGUUAUGGAGUGGUGGCCUCCGCCAUCGAUACUCACACCGGAGAGAAAGUGGCUAUAAAGAAGAUGAACAAUAUCUUUGAGCAUGUCUCUGAUGCUACGCGCAUUCUGCGAGAGAUCAAGCUUCUACGCCUCCUCAGACACCCUGAUAUUGUUGAAAUCAAGCACAUAAUGCUUCCUCCAUCCCCCAGAGAGUUCAAGGAUAUCUAUGUCGUCUUUGAAUUGAUGGAAUCUGAUCUUCACCAGGUUAUCAAGUUGAAUGAUGAUCUCACUCCUGAGCAUCAUCAGUUUUUCUUGUACCAGCUUCUUCGAGCUCUGAAAUAUAUACACUCAGCCCAUGUGUUUCACCGAGAUUUGAAGCCAAAAAAUAUUCUUGCUAAUGCGGACUGCAAGCUAAAGCUUUGUGAUUUUGGGCUUGCUCGCGUGUCCUUUGCCAAUGCCCCUUCCGCCAUUUUUUGGACUGAUUAUGUGGCAACACGAUGGUACCGUGCUCCUGAACUCUGUGGCUCCUUUUCCUCUAAGUACACCCCUGCUAUUGAUAUCUGGAGCAUAGGAUGUAUAUUUGCUGAGUUGCUAACUGGGAAACCCUUGUUUCCUGGAAAAAAUGUGGUGCAUCAGUUGGAUAUCAUAACUGAUUUGCUUGGCACUCCUUCAGCAGAAUCCAUUGCACGGAUUGGGAAUGAAAAAGCUAGAAAAUAUUUGAACAGCAUGAGGAAAAAACGACCAAUUCCUUUGUCAAAGAAAAUUCCAAAUGCAGACCCAUUGGCUUUACGGUUACUUGAGCGAUUGCUGGCAUUUGAUCCUAAAGACCGUCCUUCUGCUGAAGAGGCAUUAGCAGAUCCAUAUUUUCAUGAUCUGGCAAAUAAGGAGCAUGAACCAUCAAGACAACCUAUUUCAAAGCUCGAGUUUGAAUUUGAGAAGAGGAAAUUGACAGAAGAUGAUGUAAGAGAGUUAAUCUAUAGAGAGAUUUUGGAGUACCAUCCUGAGAUGCUGAAAGAGUACCUUCGGGGAACGGAUCAUACUCACUUCGUGUAAUUGACCGAUUUAAGGAACAAUUUGCACAUCUUGAGGAAGGAAACGGUAAAAGUGAAAGAAGCAGUCCUCUGCAUAGGAAGCAUGCCACCUCCUUGCCUAGGGAGC
rnacentral:misc_RNA from 1 species